rnacentral:lncRNA from 1 species
GGACAUGAAGGAAGGAGUUAGUAUUGACUUCAACUGAAGAUGGCACGAAUUAGGUAACUAAAUCACCACUUCAAAGGAGGUUUUCAAAAUUUGAAGUGUAAGGAACAAUAAUUGAUUUCUUUGGGAGUUUAAAGGGGAGGGGAAAAUAGGGCUUCAAAAUUUGUUUUUUUUUUUUAAAUAUAGAAAAAUCUUUAACAUUUUUUUUUGUAUGGAAUGAUAAAACAUUACUUAUCAUUUUUUUUUUAUUUUAGGAAUAUUAUAACAACAUAAAUUAUAUUUGAACAAUUUGUUUAAUCUCUUCAAAACUCUCCAAACCACUCCUCCAAUAUAAUGUUAUAGUUUCCCAAAGUUACAAAGAUUCUUGUUUGUGAUUAAAAAUAAAUCCCCAAAAAUCUCCAUCUAAAUCAUUCUAUUAUUUUCAACUUUAUUUUUGUAAAAUAUUUUAUUUUGAAAAUCGAUUUUAAAUCUCACACAAAAUUCGAAGUAAAUAGUUUGAGUGAAAAACAAAAGAAAUAAGGGAAGAGAGACACAAGCCCUUUCUAAACAAAGGUUUAGAUGUUUGAGGCCUUGCUUUAAUCACCUAAACUAAUCCUUAUCAUAUUUUUAU